ensembl:processed_transcript Gm11292 predicted gene 11292
AUGAAAAUACACUCCCCAAUGGCCGGGUCCUCUGAGACUUGCUCUCCAUCUGGUUCAGCACGUUGCUCUCUACAGCUGAAGAAGAGUCUGCCGGCGAUUCUCUGUGGCGAUGGUUUUGCAACUGGACAAAGUAGAAGCGUUAAGGAUGCACCACAGUCUUCAAAGAUAUUCUAGCCCUGCCCAAAGGUCUCUGUGCUGAUGUCGGAAGCUCUCUACACCUCCCACAGUCUUGUUUGGUGCUUUGCCCCAUGAUGGUAAAAGACUCUUUCUCUGUCGUCUGGUUUAAAUGGAGGAUAUGGAGAAACAGAGAAAUGAGGUGCAAUGUGAAGACACCUUCGGAAUGCCAUCAGCGUGUCUAACUCGGACAUGGUGAUGGGACAUCAGAGCAGACACGGACUUCUCAUUGCAGGAUGUCAACUGACAUGGAUGUCUGUCUAUUGGAUGCAUCUAUUGGAUGUAGAAAGGCAAGGCAGCUUAGCAUGGAAGUACAGCCCCAUCAAUGUGACAAGCCGGAUGGCAUCCCCUUUGUCCCCACAUUCUGCUGUCAUCUUCCUUCCUUCCUUUCUUUCUUG